AGAUUUAAUGUGUGUAACUGGUGAUGUCAUGCUCUAAUUCAUGGGAAUUUAUCAUUAUUUCUGCAGCUUUUGUGCUGAUUCACUCUGGAACACAGGUCAGUGGGCACUGUCCACUGGGGCAGCACAACUGAGUGUGAUCGUGUCUUCAUGCCAUGUUCCCUAUUCGAGUUUUCUGGUAGGAACUACUGAAAGAAGACACAGAGUUGGAAUCAUGCCUGGUUUUUUACCCUAUGUAGCCCAUAGGAACUAAGGUCAAUUGUGUCAUAUCAGCUGAAAUUAGCACAGCACAAAGAUUACAUCUGGGCUCUUCUUGUUUACCCUAACUGGAGAGCUAACACUUACAGAAAUACAAAAUGAUGUAACUGCAAUCAACCAACCAGUGGAGAAAGAAGUUUGGACAACUCAUCAAAACCAAACCUUUCAUCCAUCAUGAAGACUUAAAAACAACUGUACAUCAUUUUAAAUGUAAAUACAAUUAUAAAAAUGAGCUGAAUAUUU